rnacentral:rRNA from 1 species
AGAGUUUGAUCCUGGCUCAGGACGAACGCUGGCGGUGUGCUUCACACAUGCAAGCCGAACGGAGUAGCAAUACUCAGUGGCGGACGGGUGAGUAACACGUGGGAAUCUACCAUUAGGUGGGGAAUAACAGGCCGAAAGGACUGCUAAUGCCGCAUAUGUAGGCAUCUCGACAGAGAUGUUUAUGAAAGGAGUAAUCCGCCUUUUGAUGAGCCCGCGUCCGAUUAGCUAGUUGGUAGGGUAAAAGCCUACCAAGGCGACGAUCGGUAGGUGGUCUGAGAGGAUGAUCACCCACAAUGGGACUGAGACACGGCCCAUACUCCUACGGGAGGCAGCAGUGGGGAAUUUUACGCAAUGGGGGAAACCCUGACGUAGCGACACCGCGUGAGCGAAGAAGCCCUUUGGGGUGUAAAGCUCUGUCAACAGGAACGAAACAAAUGACGGUACCUGUGGAGGAAGCAUCGGCUAACUACGUGCCAGCAGCCGCGGUAAGACGUAGGAUGCAAGCGUUGUCCGGAUUUAUUGGGCGUAAAGAGUUCGUAGGCGGUUUGUUAAGUCUGAUGUUAAAGACCGGGGCUCAACCUCGGAAAUGCAUUGGAUACUGGCAGACUGGAGUGCAGUAGAGGCUAGUGGAAUUCCCAGUGUAGCGGUGAAAUGCGUAGA